AACGAGCGCCAACCCCUACUGCUAGUUGCCAGCGGGUCAUGCCGGGGACUCUAGCGGAACUGCCAGCGUAAGCUGCGAGGAAGGGUGGGGAUGACGUCAAAUCAGCACGGCCCUUACGUCCGAGGGCUACACACGUGUUACAAUGGCCGGUACAGGAGGGCAGCCCACCCCGCGGAGGGGGCGCGAAUCCCGAAAGCCGGUCCCAGUUCGGAUCGGAGUCUGCAACCCGACUCCGUGAAGCUGGAUUCGCUAGUAAUCGCGCAUCAGCCACGGCGCGGUGAAUACGUUCCCGGGCCUU
rnacentral:rRNA from 1 species